AUCACUUCUCGGCCUUUUGGCUAAGAUCAACUGUAGUAUCUGUUCUUAUCAGUUUAAUAUCUGAUACGUCCUCUGAGGAUUUUUGGAGCAGGGAGUUGGAAUAGGAGCUUGCUCUGUCUACUCCACGCAUCAACCUGGUAUUGCAGUACUUCCAGGAACAGUGCACCCCUC
rnacentral:snRNA from 1 species